ACCUAUAACUGUUGCUUCGGCGGGUAGGGUCUCCGCGACCCUCCCGGCCUCCCGCCCCCGGGCGGGUCGGCGCCCGCCGGAGGAUAACCAAACUCUGAUUUAACGACGUUUCUUCUGAGUGGUACAAGCAAAUAAUCAAAACUUUUAACAACGGAUCUCUUGGUUCUGGCAUCGAUGAAGAACGCAGCGAAAUGCGAUAAGUAAUGUGAAUUGCAGAAUUCAGUGAAUCAUCGAAUCUUUGAACGCACAUUGCGCCCGCCAGCAUUCUGGCGGGCAUGCCUGUUCGAGCGUCAUUUCAACCCUCAAGCUCUGCUUGGUGUUGGGGCCCUACAGCCGAUGUAGGCCCUCAAAGGUAGUGGCGGACCCUCCCGGAGCCUCCUUUGCGUAGUAACUUUACGUCUCGCACUGGGAUCCGGAGGGACUCUUGCCGUAAAACCCCCCAAUUUUCCAAAGGUUGACCUCGGAUCAGGUAGGAAUACCCGCUGAACUUAAGCAUA
rnacentral:rRNA from 1 species